GAGUAGCUGGGAUUACAGGCGUGUGCCACCAUGCCCGGCUAAUUUUUGUGUUUUUAGUAGAGACCGGGGAAGGUAUGGGCCCUCUUUUGAGAAAAAUGCAGAGUGACACUGAAUUUUGUAACUACAUCAGGAGGCUCUUGAACCUUCUGCAGCUCACUCGUGGAGUUUGUAGAGAUGCGUAAUAAUCCGAAGUGUUAAGGAAGAAGGUUCUGUUGAGAAAAAGUUGGAGGGCUGAAAGGGAUGCCUUUCGCUAUUUCGACAUGUGUGGCUGUACCCCAGAGUGCCCUGGCUAACACGCAAAACCAUGAAUUAGGCGGCUUGGCGAGGCUCAGUGGAGGCUGGGGCCGAGAGUCAUGUCAAAGUUUGUGGGGUUAACCUGCACCCAGUGACAGUCAUGGCGAAGUUUGUGAGGUUAACUCGCACCCAGUAACGCUGUUCCAAUGCAAGGUGUGUAUUUGGUGUCAUCCACGGGAAGAGGAAACAGCAAAUUUUCUCAUGGCCUUGGCAGUUCCACAUGAUGGACAUUUCAUAUCUGCAGUUUUCUUCGCAUGAGAUGGCUUUUUUGCACAAAAACACUGGAAUCCAGUGAGCAAGAAUGAUAGAAUGCAAGAUGGAUUUCCACAUGAGGAAGUGUCACGAACAAGCGUUUUGCAUCUCUGUCAGCUGGAUUCCCCCAUGUGUACGUAUGUGAGAACAUGCCGUGUUUCCUGUCUGUAAUGGUAGAGGCAGCCCUGAUACUGGAUUUUCACCUGAGGAUGGAUAGAUCUUCAGGGUUCAAGUGGGUUUGCAUCUGGACUUUAGGGUGGCCCUGUAGGCCCUGUGUGAGAAGCCCCCUUCCCAGUGAACUUUCCCUUGUGUGCCCGCGUGGACAGCCAACAGGGGGAGCAGUGCGAGCGUGAAGGCAGACAGUGGCCUGGCCCAGUCUGAUGGUGCAGAAGCUGAGCUGCAGAGGCGUUAGGUACCUGCCUCAUAAGUGGUAGAGACUCCAGUGUCACCCUGCCCCUCACGUUCGGAGCCCCCGAGGGAGGGUCUGCCGGGCAGCUCAGCCCAGCACUCUGUAAGGAAAUCUUCAGUGCCACUGCCCAGGAUGUCUUCCCGGGGAUUGGGCCUGAAUGUCUUGACCAUGCCGUGCUGGAGGGAGAGACCCACCGACCCUGUGGGGCUGGUCCCUACAUCUGGCGCUCUGACGUGGGGCUCUCCCUCGCUGUGUGAAGUUGCACCCUGAGUGCGGGAUCAGCGGAGGAGUUCAACGAGAGAUUCCUGAGGAUUGCAGUCUAUAAACUUGGUGGGGUUUUGUUUGUGUUUCCCCAGGAAAAGAACUACAGCCUGUGUGGGUCCCCUCCCGACAAUUAAAAUUGCACCAUAACUCCAAAGAUGAAACGCUCCCAGAAAGAAAAGGCAAAGACCCAUCGGAAACAAAAGAGCAACUUUCACCGCCUGAUACAUACACUUCAUGACAUCCACAUUGAGACAAAAUCUCGCCGUGUGACCUACAACACCUCUCGUUCAACCCCACCUACUUGGGGUCGAAUACAGAUUUUAUCUCAUCAAACAGAAAAAUUCUUAACAGAAAAAGGAAUCCCAAAAAUGACUGGUAAUAUAAUUCUGGCUGCCUUUAUGGUAGUCAGUGCAGCGUCUGCAGAUGCCUCUAAGGAGUCCGAAACCAAGUCCGAAGUCAACAACAAGCAAUGAUGGCGAUGGCGAUUCUAGUUAAUAAAAAGGGGGGAGAUGUGGGCGGCAAGCCACCCAGGCACCGAGGCAAGAGACAGAGGACACGAGCUGUUCCAGUAUAAUAAAAUAUAAAACAAGAAUAGUUAUACCAGAUAUAGAUCUUAGAUAUGAUUAUAUACGAAUAUCAUUAAUCA
ensembl:lncRNA ERVK13-1 endogenous retrovirus group K13 member 1